GGAGGAGGAGGAGAAGAAGAAGAGUUUGGAGCUGCUGCUAAUGCUGUUGCUACUCGCGGAGGAACGUUGUCGCUAGGCCGGGAAUUAAGCGGGGCUAGCGUUUAGGCUCUGUUCUGGUCGUUCCUUAAGUUCGCCGUGUUCUGUCCCUGUGUUUUGUGCCAAAGACGUCCGGGCUGUAGGUUGGAAGGGCGUUGGGAGUCGAUAGGGCAUCUCCUUAGAGCUCUGUGGGUGGGUGGGGUGAGGUGACCACCGUCACCCCGGGCAUUUUGGGAGGUGGUGCAAGGCCGCAUUCCAAACGUCCCUUUGGAAACCUGCCAACUGAGUGUCGUGGCUUGUGCUAUAUACAGAAUUUCUCAGAAUCACGGAACGAAUUAGGUUGGAAAGGCCUGUGAGAUCAUCGAGUCCAACCUUUGAACACCACCAUGUCAAUUACACCGUGGCACAAAGUGCCGCCUCUAGUACUUAAACACCAAAGCAAUCCUGUGGAGUUUGGAAAACUUUGUUUUAUUUUAAGCUGGCUUCUCUUGUCAAACAAAAAAGCCCCAUUAAUCCUUUUGUGAGAAAGAAAAAUGUUUUCGUAUCAAUUAGAGUUCUAUUGGACUUUUUAUUAUCAGCUAAUUAAACGUGUUUCAGAUUCUCACAAAAUAAUAGAAUCAAAUAAAAUGUACUUCAUUCCCGCUAAACAAAUGUACGGGUACAAGUACUUGCACUUGUACUAAGCAUAAAGUAUUAGUGCAAGUGUAAGGUAGGAAGCCAGAUCAUGGAUUUGCAGAAAUCUUGGAGGUGAUCAAACGCACGGCAGAGCUGGCAUCUCCCCACGUGUUCCAUGGCAAAGGGUGACGUCUUUGAUCAGCCCCCCCAUCCUGCCUUGGCUUUAAACUGAGGUGCUGACUGGAAUCUGAAGCAGCUGCCAAAUGAACACAUCCUGAGGUGGCAGUUUGCCUUCUGUUGGCUGAAUACAGCAGGUGGUUGGCUUCAGCAGUGUCUUAGAGUGUGUUUGUAAAAAUGUAGACAGAGGUUUUUAGAGACAAAUAAAUUUUCUCUCGUUUAAAUGUUGGUUUAUAAUGCCCUCCCUAGGAUGUACUAUGUACUGUUUCUGGUCUCUCCUUUCCUUACAUGGUUCUGUUCUUCACCCUGUCUCCUUUCCCCAAACUGUCCUUUUUCAUACUUGAUUCUUCUUUCACACUUUUUUGUCAUUGGCACUUGGUCAUAGUAUUACGUGUUUUUUCUUCCCUUGGCAUGUUCCUACUCUUUCUUGUGAGUUAAGUUGUUCUGUUUCUACCCUUGGCACUCCUGGACAAUGGGAAGAUAGAGCCCAGAGCAUGGUAAGGCAUUCUUCUUUUAAGGAAUUUAAGGAAUAAAGUUUGCAAGUUUUAUUCAGUGCAGAGAGGGACUUUUUGGGGAUCUUGUCUUUUAACACAGUAUGAUUUCAGAGUUUUCUAACACUAAAUAAGGUUAAGGCAGUAAAAAUGCACUCUCAGCCUUAUAUAGAUAUCCAAAAAGAGUUCAAAUCAUCGUUUAAAAGCACUGUAGCUUUCUAAGUAAACUUGUGCAGUGUUUGUUCUUUGAUCAAAAUAAUAUAUUCUUGGGUCUUGUCCUCAUAGAUUGCACUCCUUUGGCUUUGACCUGAAACAAGGAUUGUAACUUAGUAAAAGUUUUACUGUCUAUUCCUUUCCCACCACCCUCCUGAAAGCGGCAGAUGGGACUUCAGAUAAAAGCCUUGUCACAGUAGCAGAUUUGCACUUUUCCCCUUGGGCUUUGUAUGAGUCUGCAAAGAAAGGAAGUCAGUGAGCAGAUGAAGAGCAGCACUGGGCUACAAAUGGAGCAGGAGCUUUCCUGCCAACCAGGAUAACCACAAAGCCAAAGAACCCAUCUGGAAGUGGUCCUUGGCCCCUCAGCAGCUGGGGCUGUUCUCCUCCCAGCUGAGAGUGACUCUGCUUCCCCUGCUGCAAGGGAGUCAAACUUGUCCAGUUACCUGCGGACCCAAGGGACAGGUAACAAAACAUCAGGUAAAGCAAAAAUUAGCAAAAGAUGUAACAAUAUGCAAAUUCCCCACCCUUCCUAGAAAAUAUGACAAUUCACUGCCUUUGACUGGGGAGCUGAAGCAUGUAUUGAACUGGGACUGCUUGAAUCUCAGCCAACCCUGCAGAGGAGCAGAGGGAAAGCACUGGCUGCUGGAGCCUGCAGCACGUGCUGCCUGCUUGUGGGUGGCUUAGAGACAUCUGAACAUUUUGGUGGUGGUCUGCUUCUAAGAAAUGUUCAUCCUGCUCUUAACAUCUGUACCUCAAUGUCCAUCCAUACAUUGCAUGCACCUGCCCAGCUUAUGGGUGUUCUAGUGAGAAAUCCCAAAUCCUUAGUUACGAUGGUGUGUUGUUCCCAUGCAAACUCACUGGAGAGCCUCAUGAUGAAUGCCUGGUGAGGGCUUUGUCCCUCAGGCUGGGGUGUUUGGUGGAUGUAGUAAGAGAGCCAGACACCAGUGACUGGGCCCAGAGAAGUGAGUUACAGUGGUUCAUUGCAACAUCAGCCUUGCUUCACCUUGGCCAAGGAGUGGGUGCCAAGGGUGUUGUACAGUGCAGCACUAGUUCUGCUCCACAAUGAGCUGAUGACUGGGAGGAGAAGGGGAGGGCAAAGCAUGGCACUAGGGCUGUGUAUAACGGAUCCAAAAGGGGGUGGAAGAAAGGGAGUAUGGAGGGAAUUACAUCUAGGUCAGCACUACAGACUUCACUCAAAACAAGAGCUUCCGAAACAUUUCUGAUACUCUCUUUGCUUGGCCUGCAUAGUCUGGGGACCAUCCCAAGUUUCUCUGAGGCAAUCCUUUCCAUCCUGGUUCCUACUACACUCACAUGUGACCUUCCCCCCAGAUCUGCACUUGUUCUGACUGUGCAAGUGACAGGACCCUCUGAAUAAACACAGGAUGUUAGCUGUCAUCCACUGAGGAUGAGAGCAGGGAUGUUCAGGUACUUCAGUGAUCUUGAAUGUGAAAGUCUUCACAAACGUGCACUUGGGUUUGGAGAGGCAGAAAUGCAACGUCAAACAGGUCUUUGAUCGUCACAAGGAUCUGACUUACUUGUGGAUAUAGACUGCUUUCUUCUAGUUGGCUAGGUGUCUUUUCCAGGUAUUUUCCUCUGUACGAACAAGUAUCUUUCAUCUAGCUACACCUUUCAGCUCUGCUGCUGAUGUUUUUGUGCUCUCUGCCUGUGAUACUGUUGAGGCUUAGUUCUCUCCCUUUUUUCCCUCUGUGGAAUUUUCCCCAUUGUCAUGCUAAGAUACCUGUUGACUGGGCCCUGGUGACAAGGGGGAGGGGACGGGAGGGAAGAAGCAAGCCCCGCGAGAUUCAAACAGCCAGAAGAGGAAGCGGAAGGCUGGGCCUCGGCCCAUUUCCCCCCGCGGAGUUGGGACGAGAAGGACGAUCGCUGCCUGUGUCCCAUCCCUGCCAUCCCAGCAUCGGGAAACCACUAUCGGACCCUGCCCGGUUGUCUUCUCGCUGUGAACUACCACCAUCCAGCACUCUGCUGAUCACCGGGACCGACACCGUGAGCGGAGGGCUCUCUCUCCAUCUCUCUCUCUCCCCCUGGGACAGCUCUGCCAUCACCCCCAGCCCUCCUGCGGCUCUGCGGGACCCGCCCGCCCCCAGCACCAGGAACUGCAGCUCAGGGAAAAGGUGCCUGCAGCCAAAAAACACUGGGACUGAGUUACUGUUCUCUUUGUGGGUAAUUUCAUAGCUGUUGUUGUUCUUGUUUGUCUUGUUAGAUAUGCUAGUAAAGAACUGUUAUUCCUACCCCCAUAUCUUUGCCUGAGAGCUCUCUUCAUUCCAAAAUUAUAAUAAUCGGAAGAAUCACAUUUUUUUUUCAGUCCAAAGGGAAGCUUCUGCUUUCCUUGGCAACACCUGUCUUUCAAAUGAGGACAGAUUUUGGUGCCCAACGUGGGGCCCGAGGGCAUUGAGAGAAAAGGGUGAAAAAGGAAUAACAGUUCUUGAGUUACCUCAGUUUUGUGUUAGGUGGCAUCAUGUUGUCCAGCUUACCGUGGUUUGGGCUCCAUGUGGCCACAGUUCUAUCUCUCCCAUUUGCAAUCCCUUACUUGAACAUGGGUCCUAUAACUCAGGCUGCUGUAACUAUUAUCCAGUUCCUUUUGUAGGCUGAUAACGUGAGAAAUUCAUGGAUUUUUAACUUCCUCUGGAAGGUGGGCACAUGGAUUCAGAGCUAUCACACUCUAACUGUAUGUUUUUGGGGCUACUUUAAUAAUGGUACAUACUGUGAGGAUAUGACACCAGGGAAAAUUUUGUCCCAACCCCUUACUCAGUUUUUUGGGUCUGCUCCACCAGCUUUUGAGGGGUUCAAAUCUCUUCUAAGCAGUAAUGAUAUCAUACAGUGGCUGACAUUGCUAAUAGGCCUUGUAAACCUGUUCUAUUUAACAUUCCGAGAUGAGGGGAGAUUGACUUGGAUGACAACCCUGAUACGUCCCCCAAGGAAUAGGGAUCCUGCCCCAGAGCCUGGCCCUGCCCCAGAGCCUGGCUCUGCCCCAGAGACUAAGGAUUCUGCCCCAGAGCCUGACCCUUACCCUGCCCCUGCCCCAGAGACUAAGGAUUCUGCCCCAGAGACUAA